rfam:Schistosoma rodhaini strain Burundi genome assembly, scaffold: SROB_scaffold0000361
AUCAUGCUGACGAGUCCCAAAUAGGGCGAAACGUGUGUCCUGGAU